UAUUGGCCAGACUUUACCAACGGCAGCUCUACGAACAACCGAUUAAAAAAACGAAACCAAGUGUAUAUACGAGGAAGUUCGGGAGGUACCGCCAUCUUGCAGGUUAUUACGAAACUAAUAGAGGAACGUCUCAUCGAACGUUUCGUUCGAUCGAUUCUUAUUUUUCUUUCGUCGAUUUUUACGUCGAGAAAAAUGUGUGCUCUCGAAUCCAAGCACCAAUUUAACACGUCUAUUCGAAACUUUCACUGAGACGAGAGAAAUGGGUGCUCGUUACGAGAAAAACACUUCAAAUUAAUGUUUUAAGAACAUUUGUGCUGUGGCUUUUCUUCUAUUCGAUCGAGGAAGAGGAGAAAAUGACGCGUGAAAGAAUCUUUCACAAAUAUCCUAAUGAGAAACGCGUGACGAGCACCCUAGAACUUUGAUGGUUGGUUAAGAGGUUCUUCGAUCUUUCGCGUACAUGCUUUUGGCAAAAAAACGCUUCAAGUGGCGAUCGAUGAUCUUCACGAUGCUCAUUGUAAUGUGAUAAAAAAUUUUCAGAUGAUGCAACAGAGAAGAUGAUACAAGCGGACAGGAAGUGAUUUCUUAUGUAAAUACAAAUAAAAAUCCAGAAUCGAAUUUUCUAUCUUCGAACUGCUUAAUUUACGGAUCCAUGGACUUCUACAAUCAAGAUACGGUUCGUUGAACAAUUAUAAUGCACAUAUUGCGUUUAUAUAUUUCUCCUAACCUACAAAAAAAUAUUAUAUUACAGCGUUGCUUCUCAAAGAAAUUAAUAAUUAUUACCAUU